GUCCGCUUGGGUGGGCCAUUUGGGGCGCGGAAAGCCUCCGAAUAGAGGAAAUCAAGGAAUACUGCAGCAGCUGGCCCAAGUCUCGUAUCUGGGACAGUAUAGCAAUUGAUGGGCCAGUGAGGCUAGGACUUGGGCCAAAAAAAGUGCUUGACGUAUCAUGCUGUGUGGGAUUAGGCCGUUGCCUCAUAAUACUGGGCCAAAUCCGAACAGUUCGAAAUGGAAC
rnacentral:lncRNA from 1 species